rnacentral:rRNA from 1 species
GAGGCCGACAGGCGUAGUCGAUGGACAACGGGUUGAUAUUCCCGUACCCGUGUGAACGCGCCCAUGGCGAACCUUGUGAUACUAACCGCCCGAAGCCCGCCCUGAUUCUUCGGAUGAUGGGCGAUGUGGAGCGCGGGACCUGAACUUGUAGUAGUCAAGCGAUGGGGUGACGCAGGAGGGUAGCUCCGCCAGUGAGUGGUAGUACUGGUGUAAGCGUGUAG